rnacentral:rRNA from 1 species
UACGGAGGGUGCAAGCGUUGUCCGGAUUUAUUGGGUUUAAAGGGUGCGUAGGCGGCCCUGUAAGUCAGUGGUGAAAUACUGCAGCUUAACUGUAGCAUUGCCAUUGAUACUGCAGGGCUUGAGUACAGAUGAGGUAGGCGGAAUUGAUGGUGUAGCGGUGAAAUGCAUAGAUACCAUCAAGAACACCGAUUGCGAAGGCAGCUUACUAAGCUGUGACUGACGCUGAGGCACGAAAGCGUGGGGAUCGAACAGG